rnacentral:rRNA from 1 species
GGUUAAGCGACUAAGCGUACACGGUGGAUGCCCUGGCAGUCAGAGGCGAUGAAGGACGUGCUAAUCUGCGAAAAGCGCCGGCGAGGUGAUAUGAACCUUUGACCCGGCGAUGUCCGAAUGGGGAAACCCAGUGCAAUUCGUUGCACUAUCGUUAACUGAAUACAUAGGUUAACGAGGCAGGUUAACGAGGC